CCUACGGGAGGCAGCAGUAGGGAAUCUUCGGCAAUGGGGGCAACCCUGACCGAGCAACGCAGCGUGAGGGAAGAAGGUUUUCGGAUCGUAAAGCUCUGUUGUAAGAGAAGAACGAGUGUGAGCGUGGAAAGUUCACGCAGUGACGGUAACUUACCAGAAAGGGAAGGCCAACCACGUGCCCGCAGCCGCGGGAAGACGUCGGUCCCGAGCGUUAUCCGGAUUUAUUGGGCGGAAGGCGAGCGCAGUCGGUUGUAUAAGGCUGAAGUUAAAGGCUGUGGCUCAACCAUAGUAUGCUUUUGAAACUGUUCAACUUGAGUGCAGAAGGGGAGAGUGGAAUUCCAUGUGUAGCGGUGAAAUGCGUAGAUAUAUGGAAGAACACCGGUGGCGAAGGCAGCUCUCUGGUCUGUAACUGACGCUGAGGCUCGAAAGCGUGGGUAGCGAACAGGAUUAGAUACCCGAGUAGUC
rnacentral:rRNA from 1 species